rnacentral:rRNA from 1 species
AUUGAACGCUGGCGGCAGGCCUAACACAUGCAAGUCGAGCGGUAGAGGGAAGCUUGCUUCUCUUGAGAGCGGCGGACGGGUGAGUAAUGCCUAGGAAUCUGCCUGGUAGUGGGGGAUAACGUUCGGAAACGGACGCUAAUACCGCAUACGUCCUACGGGAGAAAGCAGGGGACCUUCGGGCCUUGCGCUAUCAGAUGAGCCUAGGUCGGAUUAGCUAGUUGGUGGGGUAAUGGCUCACCAAGGCGACGAUCCGUAACUGGUCUGAGAGGAUGAUCAGUCACACUGGACCUGAGACACGGUCCAGACUCCUACGGCAGGCAGCAGUGGGGAAUAUUGGACAAUGGGCGAAAGCCUGAUCCAGCCAUGCCGCGUGUGUGAAGAAGGUCUUCGGAUUGUAAAGCACUUUAAGUUGGGAGGAAGGGCAGUAAAUUAAUACUUUGCUGUUUUGACGUUACCGACAGAAUAAGCACCGGCUAACUCUGUGCCAGCCGCCGCCGUAA